rnacentral:rRNA from 1 species
UACGGGGGGGCAAGCGUUGUUCGGAAUUACUGGGCGUAAAGGGCUCGUAGGUGGCCAACUAAGUCAUACGUGAAAUCCCUCGGCUUAACCGGGGAACUGCGUCUGAUACUGGAUGGCUUGAGUUCGGGAGAGGGAUGCGGAAUUCCAGGUGUAGCGGUGAAAUGCGUAGAUAUCUGGAGGAACACCGGUGGCGAAGGCGGCAAUCCUGGACCGAUACUGACGCUGAGGAGCGAAAGCCAGGGGAGCAAACGGG